AACAAGAGUUGACCCGAGCCCUUGCUCUUGAGAAGGUACCGACAUAUGUUCUUGUUAUGCUUAACCAGCUGAUCGUGCAUCUUGUUCAACUAUUUGCUUAUGAUCUCUUUCUAGUAUCUAUAAUCUAUGACCAUAUUAAAAGAGAACCUUGCAUUAUGACCAUAUUAAAAGAGAACCUUGCAUGCAUUGUUGUGUUGUAUAGAUGCAAAUAGCAAUUAGAAAAGAAGGGUAAUACUCUACAAGAAAUAUCACUCUCUUCCUAGUACCAAUAGCCCUAGCUACCCUCCAAUCCUCGAAAAAAAAAACCUUGUGAAAGGUCAAUUAAGAACCCGAAGAAUCAAAGAUAGCUGAGAUUGAGAAAGGGGCAAACAAUCCAGGUGUCAUGCACCUUUUAAAAGUUGAUCCUAAAUCUUUAUAUCAUGCAUGAAAAAAAGAAGAGAUUGAGAACUUGGUAUCUUGGUAUCUGUUGCUAGUGGGAGGUGCUAGGUAUCCCGUGGAUUUACUCGAGGUGCACCAAAGCU
rnacentral:lncRNA from 1 species